rnacentral:misc_RNA from 1 species
UGUGUUGCUUACCUACUAAGAGGAAUUCGAUAGUAACGUUGCCUCCUUCCGCCCGAUGCCCUCUUUGGGUGUAGGGUGGACGCCAAGCACGCUACGUGUUCCUCGCAUGCCUUGCCUUGUUGCGGGGCUGUUGAGGCCCACGGAGCUGUUGCCCGUUCUCUCGGAUGCGGAACGUCAUGCAUGGGUGCAGGGUCUCGGCCUUUGCUCGCCCAAGCUAUGCAUUUGUCCCUUGACGCGAACGACUGCCACGGCCGUCUUGAUCACGUCGUAGCCUACGCGCUCGACGGGCUUCAUGCGGACGCUGGCGUCGUCGAGGAAUGCUACCUGGUUGAUCCUGCCAGUAGUCAU